rfam:Macrostomum lignano uti_cns_0045368, whole genome shotgun sequence.
GGUUCGGUGGUGUAGUGGUUAUCACAUCUGUCUCACACACAGAAGGUCCCCGGUUCGAGCCCGGGCCGAACCA